rnacentral:hammerhead_ribozyme from 1 species
GCACUGCUGAGGAGUCCCAUAUUAGGACGAAAUAUUCAUAUAGUGCUUCCAGGUUUUCCAUGGUGGUCUAGCUUCAAUUGACUCAUGAUUUCAACUAUUGAAAUUUUUAAAAUCUCCACAAAACCCCUUCUGGUAAAUUAUACUAGAACGAAACGGCCGUCCAGUGC